GAUGAACGCUGGCGGCGUGCUUAACACAUGCAAGUCGAACGAAGCACUUUGAAAGCUUGCUUUCGAAGUGACUGAGUGGCGGACGGGUGAGUAACGCGUGGAUAACCUGCCUCACACAGGGGGAUAACAGUUAGAAAUGACUGCUAAUACCGCAUAAGCCCACGGUACCGCAUGGUACAGAGGGAAAAGAUUUUAUCGGUGUGAGAUGGAUCCGCGUCUGAUUAGCUAGUUGGUGGGGUAACGGCCCACCAAGGCGACGAUCAGUAGCCGACCUGAGAGGGUGACCGGCCACAUUGGGACUGAGACACGGCCCAAACUCCUACGGGAGGCAGCAGUGGGGAAUAUUGCACAAUGGGCGCAAGCCUGAUGCAGCGACGCCGCGUGAGUGAAGAAGUAUUUCGGUAUGUAAAGCUCUAUCAGCAGGGAAGAAAAUGACGGUACCUGACUAAGAAGCACCGGCUAAAUACGUGCCAGCAGCCGCCGCCGUAA
rnacentral:rRNA from 1 species